rnacentral:rRNA from 1 species
CCUACGGGAGGCAGCAGCUUAGGAAUAUUGGACAAUGGGCGAAAGCCUGAUCCAGCCAUGCCGCGUGUGUGACGAAGGCCUUAGGGUUGUAAAGCACUUUNGUUGGGGAUGAUAAUGANCGUACCCAAAGAANAANCCNAGGAUAAAUUCGUGCCAGNAGCCGCNGNAAUAAUUACU